UACGUAGGGCGCGAGCGUUGUCCGGAUUUAUUGGGCGUAAAGAGCUCGUAGGCGGCUUGUCGCGUCGACUGUGAAAUCCCGUGGCUUAACUGCGGGUCUGCAGUCGAUACGGGCAGGCUAGAGUUCGGUAGGGGAGACUGGAAUUCCUGGUGUAGCGGUGGAAUGCGCAGAUAUCAGGAGGAACACCGGUGGCGAAGGCGGGUCUCUGGGCAGUAACUGACGCUGAGGAGCGAAAGCGUGGGGAGCGAACAGG
rnacentral:rRNA from 1 species